AGGACGAACGCUGGCGGCGUGCUUAACACAUGCAAGUCGAACGGAAAGGCCCUUCGGGGUACUCGAGUGGCGAACGGGUGAGUAACACGUGGGUGAUCUGCCCUGCACUUUGGGAUAAGCCUGGGAAACUGGGUCUAAUACCGAAUAUGACCAUGCGCCUCCUGGUGUGUGGUGGAAAGCUUUUGCGGUGUGGGAUGGGCCCGCGGCCUAUCAGCUUGUUGGUGGGGUAAUGGCCUACCAAGGCGACGACGGGUAGCCGGCCUGAGAGGGUGACCGGCCACACGUGGGACUGAGAUACCGGCCCAGACCUCCGUACGGGAGGCAGCAGGUGGGAAUAUGCACAGUGGGCGACAAGCCUAGAUAGCAGCGACGCCGCGUGAGGA
rnacentral:rRNA from 1 species